rnacentral:rRNA from 1 species
GGGUGAGUAACACGUAUGCAACCUGGCCGUGACAGAUGGAUAACCGGGAGAAAUCCCGCCUAAUACAACAUAAUGCCGGGAGGGGACAUCCCCUGCCGGCCAAAGGGGGCGACCCCGGUCACGGAUGGGCAUGCGGCGCAUUAGGUAGUUGGUGGGGCAACGGCCCACCAAGCCGACGAUGCGUAGGGGUUCUGAGAGGAAGGUCCCCCACAUUGGAACUGAGACACGGUCCAAACUCCUACGGGAGGCAGCAGUGAGGAAUAUUGGUCAAUGGCCGGAAGGCUGAACCAGCCAAGUCGCGUGAGGGAAUAAGGCCCUACGGGUCGUAAACCUCUUUUGCCAGGGAGCAAUGCCGUCCACGUGUGGACGGAAGGAGAGUACCUGGAGAAAAAGCAUCGGCUAACUCCGUGCCAGCAGCCGCGGUAAUACGGAGGAUGCGAGCGUUAUCCGGAUUUAUUGGGUUUAAAGGGUGCGUAGGCGGCCUGCCAAGUCAGCGGUAAAAUUGCGGGGCUCAACCCCGUACAGCCGUUGAAACUGCCGGGCUCGAGUGGGCGAGAAGUAUGCGGAAUGCGUGGUGUAGCGGUGAAAUGCAUAGAUAUCACGCAGAACCCCGAUUGCGAAGGCAGCAUACCGGCGCCCUACUGACGCUGAGGCACGAAAGUGCGGGGAUCAAACAGGAUUAGAUACCCUGGUAGUCCGCACAGUAAACGAU